AUCGGGGUUGCGGACAGUGUCUGGUGGGUAGUUUGACUGGGGCGGUCUCCUCCCAAAGCGUAACGGAGGAGCACGAAGGUUAGCUAAUCCUGGUCGGACAUCAGGAGGUUAGUGCAAUGGCAUAAGCUAGCUUGACUGCGAGCGUGACGGCGCGAGCAGGUGCGAAAGCAGGUCAUAGUGAUCCGGUGGUUCUGAAUGGAAGGGCCAUCGCUCAACGGAUAAAAGGUACUCCGGGGAUAACAGGCUGAUACCGCCCAAGAGUUCAUAUCGACGGCGGUGUUUGGCACCUCGAUGUCGGCUCAUCACAUCCUGGGGCUGAAGUAGGUCCCAAGGGUAUGGCUGUUCGCCAUUUAAAGUGGUACGCGAGCUGGGUUUAGAACGUCGUGAGACAGUUCGGUCCCUAUCUGCCGUGGGCGCUGGAGAAUUGAGGGGGGCUGCUCCUAGUACGAGAGGACCGGAGUGGACGCAUCACUGGUGUUCGGGUUGUCAUGCCAAUGGCACUGCCCGGUAGCUAAAUGCGGAAGAGAUAAGUGCUGAAAGCAUCUAAGCACGAAACUUGCCCCGAGAUGAGUUCUCCCUGAGACUAUAAGUCUCCUGAAGGAACGUUGAAGACGACGACGUUGAUAGCCCGGGUGUGUAAGCGCAGCGAUGCGUUGAGCUAACCGGUACUAAUGAACCGUGAGGCUUAACCUUACAACGCCGAAG
rnacentral:rRNA from 1 species